rnacentral:rRNA from 1 species
UACGAAGGGGGCUGGCGUUGCUCGGAAUCACUGGGCGUAAAGGGUGCGUAGGCGGGUCUUUAAGUCAGGGGUGAAAUCCUGGAGCUCAACUCCAGAACUGCCUUUGAUACUGAGGAUCUUGAGUUCGGGAGAGGUGAGUGGAACUGCGAGUGUAGAGGUGAAAUUCGUAGAUAUUCGCAAGAACACCAGUGGCGAAGGCGCCUCAUUGGCCGAUAACUGACACUGAGCUGCGAAAGCAAGGGGAGCAAACAGG